GACAGAGGGUGCAAGCGUUGUUCGGAAUCAUUGGGCGUAAAGCGCACGUAGGCGGCGGAGCAAGUCGGAUGUGAAAGCCCAGGGCUCAACCCUGGAAGUGCAUCCGAAACUGCCUCGCUCGAGUCCCGGAGAGGGUGGCGGAAUUCCGAGUGUAGAGGUGAAAUUCGUAGAUAUUCGGAGGAACACCAGUGGCGAAGGCGGCCACCUGGACGGAGACUGACGCUGAGGUGCGAAAGCGUGGGGAGCAAACAGG
rnacentral:rRNA from 1 species